rnacentral:rRNA from 1 species
UACGUAGGGUCCGAGCGUUGUCCGGAAUUAUUGGGCGUAAAGGGCUCGUAGGCGGUUUGUCGCGUCGGGAGUGAAAACACGGGGCUUAACCCCGUGCCUGCUUCCGAUACGGGCAGACUAGAGGUAUGCAGGGGAGAAUGGAAUUCCUGGUGUAGCGGUGAAAUGCGCAGAUAUCAGGAGGAACACCGGUGGCGAAGGCGGUUCUCUGGGCAUUACCUGACGCUGAGGAGCGAAAGUGUGGGGAGCGAACAGG